UGGGGAAUAUUGCACAAUGGGCGCAAGCCUGAUGCAGCAACGCCGCGUGAACGAUGAAGGUCUUCGGAUCGUAAAGUUCUGUUGCAGGGGAUGAUAAUGACGGUACCCUGUGAGGAAGCCCCGGCUAACUACGUGCCAGAAGCCGCGGUAAUACGUAGGGGGCUAGCGUUAUCCGGAUUUACUGGGCGUAAAGGGUGCGUAGGUGGUCUUUCAAGUCGGUGGUUAAAGGCUACGGCUCAACCGUAGUUAGCCUCCGAAACUGGAAGACUUGAGUGCAGGAGAGGAAAGUGGAAUUCCCAGUGGAGCGGUGAAAUGCGUAGAUAUUGGGAGGAACACCAGUAGCGAAGGCGGCUUUCUGGACUGCAACUGACACUGAGGCACGAAAGCGUGGGUAGCAAACAGG
rnacentral:rRNA from 1 species